GUCUUCCUGCCCUUCCAGGAGAAUGCCACACAGAUAUCCUGCCCCACUUGAUCAGCCUCAGACGCAGGGGACGCGGUAGGUGGCACUAGCCUCACCUGACCAGUGCUCUUCACCACGGCCUUGCCUCCUCCACUCCCCCCAGCCUGGUGCUCUGGGGCACCUGUAGCCGCGAAGAGGCAGUGGGAGGCAGACGCAGGAACCCCAGCCCAGGGCCUCCCUGCACCGCACCCCAAGUCUCAAUUGCACACACACUCCCACCAGACUGGGCACCCCUUUCUCCUCACUGAGGCAGAAGUGCAAGGAGAAAAGGGGCUGGGCUCUGGGCUUGGUGCCCUCGGCUGAUAACCAGCGUGUGUCGGGACACCAGGCCGGCGCUGCCCCUCAGAUUCCUCCCAGGACCCCUCUGACGCGGGCGCUCCCAAUGGCCUUGCUGGGCCUUCCCAGACUGGCAGUUGGCACUUCCUCUCGGCGCUCCUUCCCGCUUUCCUUCCCUCUGGACCGGAUCUGCUCAGCUGACAGCCCCUGCAGGCAUCCCCAUUUCCUCUCCCAGUGUCACUGCUGUGAUGUUUGUGCAAGUGGAACGGAGGAGCUGGUGAGCUGGUUGAGGCGUUGUGUCGGAUGGAGGAACUUUCUUCAUUCCUCACCGACUCAGGCCCUUGCUCCUCCAGAAGUGGAGGCACACCAAUGAGGUGAAGCCGGCAGCACCCUGCAGCUAUGUGCCCACCAGGGGCCAGGGCCACAUGUGUGCAAUCUCAGUUCACUUCACAGAGAGUCCCCCAGGUAGGAAUUCUUGUCUCCAGUUUACAGAUGAGGAAUCGGAGGCUCAGAGUGGCCACACAGCCAAUUCAUGGCCACUCGGGGAGGCAGACCCUGUACCAGGCUUAGGAGAGGUGAAGAGGGCCGGGGCCCCGGGACUCACCGUGUAGAUGGACUCAGCUGGGAGCCUCUGAGGGCUGCUGGCAGGGCUGGGGUCCAGGCACUUCUGGGUGAGGUGUGUCUGUGGCACCUGCAUCUGCUUCUGCGAGGAAAGGAGUCAGGGUGGCCGGGGCUGGGAUAGGCAGCUCCCCCGUCUCCCCCUGCCACCCUUGUACAGACGCCCCCAGGCAAAGGAUGGCAGUGUCACAGGGCCACACAGACACUGAUCACACAGCACCUUCCACUCCCCCAGGGAAAUGUGGCAAAUGCCUCUGAGAUCUGUAUUAAGCCACUCACUGGUCUGGAGGUACCAGCAAUGAGAAUGACCCCCAACAGGGCAUUGCCCACAGACACAGUGCCUGGCACAGGAGAGGCAGGCACUGCAGGGCACAGUGAGACAGGGCCCCUGGCUAAGCAGCUGACUGCUGUGGGUGGUCCUGAGCGAGUGCCAACCAGACCAGGUGUCCAGUCCUCUCUGCCCCUUGCUGGCUCGGUGGGCCCACACAGGCCACUUGCCCUCUCUGGGCCUUGAUUUCUUCAGCAAGAACCCUCCUUUGGGAAACUGUUCCAAGGACUCAGGGAGGUGAUGGCACUCAGGUGGCACUUAGGGAGCCCUUGGCCCACCCACCUAGAUCUGUCAGGCACCUGUUGUUAGCCAGGUGGUGUGAAGAGGUGGACACCGUGCCUGCCUCCUUGGAGCUUAGGACCAGGAGGGGAGACAGACAACAAGCCAGCAGUUUCCCCAGGCGAGGUCCAUGUGCUGCCCACAGCAACAGAGCCUUUGGCACACUGGGAGGGAACCAACCCCGCCCGGCAGGAAGGGAUGCUUAAGGCCUGAAGGCAGACAGUUCAUUUGGCCAGAGACGGGGUGUGCUGGAGCAGCCGCGCUAAGGCCUGAAGGUCUCGAGGAGCUUAGAGGUGGUCAGUGUGGCCUGAGAGGCGGGAACCUGCCCAGGGUGGUCGGACAGCUGUGCAGGCCGCGUGAAGAAUGCAGAGGGUGAGAAGCACCUGAGGCUUUAAUGGGAAAGCAGUUCCGGAAAGCUUCGGCAGCGGCUGCAUGAAGCAUGAUGGGGACGUGGGCGUGGGGGCCGGAGGCCUGUGGGGAGGCGCUGGGCCCGGUGCAGUCAGCCCCUUCUGAGGCACAGGGAGGCUGCCUGGAGGUCUCCCUCAUCGCAGGCGCCGCACCGCCAGCAGCGGAGGGACAACAGCCUCAUCACGGGGCGGGAGCUAAUUAAAAACCCUGGCUGCCCGCCAAUUCCCAGCCCGUGCACCGGGAUUUGCUCUCCAGAGCCACUUAACCUCCCAGGCAGAAGCCAGCGCCACCCUCAGGCACAGCCUCUUGUGGCUCAGGGUGGUGCAGCCCCACCGUGGGGCUCAGAACACAUGACCUGCCUAUCCCACACACCACUCAGCAAACCUGCGGGACAAGUGUUCAUGUCACCUCCAUCCCACGCAGGAGUGUGUGAAGGCAGGUGACCUGCCUGCGGCCACAGAGUCUGAGGUGGCCGGGGCACAAUUUGAACCCAGAUCUGUGUGAGUCACCAAGAUGCUAACCUGGCAGUACUGGGGUUUUCACAACUCUGCUUUGCUUAAAUGCAUAGGCCUCAGAGAUCGGUGCUGGCACCCCUGGGGCACUGUACAGUACCCCUGGGGACUUGUUCCUACGGUCACCUCAAGACAGCCAGGGGCUGGUGCCUCUCCCUUCACUGAGCCAUCAGCCUGAACACUGUCAGGGCUGGGGGCAGGGCCCCUUGGGCCCCGUGGUGAGCAACAACCAUGCCCGGCCUCGAGGCUGCCCACUGUGACUGCGGGGAGGGGACAUCAGGGGGGUAGAUGCCGCUGCAGGGCUGUGGGAAGAGACCCAAGUCCGCCAGGGGCUGGAGCAGGCUUCUCAGAGCUCGUGCUGCCUCCUGAAGAGAGGAGAGUAGUGUGGGAGUCUGUCCCGGACCGCGGGGCAGCACGCAGAGGGGCGUGGGGGCAGAGCCGUCAUGACGGGCCGGGGUGACACAGAAGGAGGGACUGUCAGACAGAAAGCAGCCACGUGGAAGCAAAA